rnacentral:rRNA from 1 species
CCUACGGGAGGCAGCAGUGGGGAAUAUUGGGCAAUGGGCGCAAGCCUGACCCAGCGACGCCGCGUGAGGGAUGAAGGUCUUCGGAUUGUAAACCUCUUUCAGUGGGGAAGAAGCGAAAGUGACGGUACCCAAAGAAGAAGCACCGGCUGACUAUGUGCCAGCAGCCGCGGUAAUACAUAGGGUGCAAGCGUUGUCCGGAAUUAUUGGGCGUAAAGAGCUCGUAGGUCGUUCACCACGUCGGAUGUGAAAAUCUGAGGCUCAACCUCAGACCUGCAUUCGAUACGAGUGAACUAGAGUUUGGUAGGGGAGACUGGAAUUCCUGGUGUAGCGGUGGAAUGCGCAGAUAUCAGGAGGAACAUCGAUGGCGAAGGCAGGUCUCUGGGCCAAUACUGACACUGAGGAGCGAAAGCGUGGGGAGCGAACAGGAUUAGAUACCCUGGUAGUCCACGCCGUAAACGGUGGGCACUAGUUGUGGGGACCUUCCACGGUUUCCGCGACGCNGCUACGACAUAAGUACGCCCGCCGUCGGGGAGGUACGAGCGCGAAGAAAUUAAAACUUAAACGUUAAAAGGAAAGUUAGUUACGGCGUGAGACGUUCGCCGAACGGACGACCGACCGAGGGGAAGGUUAGG